GUGGGUGUAGCUCAGCUGGUUAGAGCACCUGGUUGUGGCCCAGGAGGCCGCGGGUUCGAGCCCCGUCACUCACCCCA
rnacentral:tRNA from 1 species